GACGAAGGAUGCAAGCGUUAUCCGGAUUCAUUGGGUUUAAAGGGCGCGUAGGUGGUCUACUAAGUCAGUGGUGAAAUCUCUCGGCUUAACUGAGAAAUUGCCAUUGAUACUGGUGGACUUGAGUGUAGUUGCCGUUGGCGGAAUAUGACAUGUAGUGGUGAAAUACAUAGAGAUGUCAUAGAACACCGAUUGCGAAGGCAGCUGACGAAACUAUAACUGACACUGAGGCUCGAAAGUGUGGGGAUCAAACAGG
rnacentral:rRNA from 1 species